CCAGCUGCCCGUGCCCCGCUCGCUCCUGCGCCCGGCACACGCGGGCGCACAGCUCGGUGCACCGGGCUACCUCACCCUUCCCCCGACUGCGCCCUCCAAGCCAGGCGUGCCUCCCGGAUGGUUCAACUCCCUGGGACAAGCCGAGGACCAAAGCUGAGCUGGGAAGGCGGGGUGGCAAGCCACUGGGCCCGGGCAAAAACCCCAGGCCAGCCCUGAUGGAGCAUAUCCGAGGUGUACCAGCCCCAGAAGGUUCGUUGAAUUACGGGCUGUGUUUUGUCCCAAACCCACCUGGACAAGGUAUGAGAUUGUUUAGUCUAAAUUCAUCAGCUCCACCGUAAUGGGAUCCCAGAAUAGGAGAGUGUGGCGCGUCUGUCGACCCACACCCACCACCACUGUGUGAGUCUCUACAAACACAAGCAUUGGUGUGUGAGAGCUAAUGAUAGCUGACAUUUAUUCGGUGCCUGCAACAAGCCCACUAAGCUUGUCUUUUCUAAAAUCACCUCCUCACAGAUGCUUAGAACAGUGCCUCGCUUCUAGCAGACAAUCUGGGAAUGUUCGCUAAAACAUUUGAGGGACUGAUCUCAUUUAACUCUAUCUGCUAGGUAAUAUAACCGGGCCCACACAACAGAGAGACUGAGGCCCAAAGCAAUUAAGCAAGCUCCCCCACAGAAGUCCCUCGGUUGGCUUUUGACCUGAGAUAUGUGACUCCUGGGCCUGUGCUCUAACCACUGUAGGUAGUGCCUUUCUAAAAUAGGCCUCCAGACUCCCUAUGCACCUGAUGCUGUAAGUUUGGUUUCUGUCUGUCCCCCACACUGAAAUGGUAAAGUCCAGGGCAGAAAGGGGCUUUGACUCCUACAGUCUCCAAGCACCUACGGCAGUAGGU